AAUUUAUUUAAGGCUAUGAUAGACAGAUUUUAGCCUCUAAGGGAAUCAAGAGAAUUGGGAAAUGGGGAGAUAACUGGAGCUCACUUUGCUGGAGCACCUAUCAAAAGCACUGCAGAGGGUCAAGGAGAAAGCACAUCUCACCUUGUCAGGGUAACUAGCUCCUUGUUCAUCCCUCAAAAACGCAAAGCAAUGGCUAGCAGUGAAGAAGACCUUUCUCAGCUUGCAGCCCCCACGAAAAACAAAAUUCAUCAUAACUCAGUGCCUGAUGAA